rnacentral:rRNA from 1 species
UACAGAGGUCUCAAGCGUUGUCCGGAAUCAUUGGGCGUAAAGAGCGUGUAGGCGGCUCGGUAAGUCCGCUGUGAAAGUCCAGGGCUCAACCCUGGAAAAGCCGGUGGAAACUGUCGAGCUCGAGUCCGGAAGAGGCGAGUGGAAUUCCUGGUGUAGCGGUGAAAUGCGCAGAUAUCAGGAGGAACACCAAUGGCGAAGGCAGCUCGCUGGGACGGUACUGACGCUGAGACGCGAAAGCGUGGGGAGCAAACAGG